AUUUGCGUAGCUUAAACCUAAAGCACAGCACUGAAGAUGCUAAGAUGAAAUUUAAAAUCUUCCACAAAUA
rnacentral:tRNA from 1 species